GAUGAACGCUGGCGGCGUGCCUAAUACAUGCAAGUCGAGCGAACAGACGAGGAGCUUGCUCCUUCGACGUUAGCGGCGGACGGGUGAGUAACACGUAGGUAACCUACCUAUAAGACUGGGAUAACUUCGGGAAACCGGAGCUAAUACCGGAUAAUAUUUCGAACCGCAUGGUUCGAUAGUGAAAGAUGGCUUUGCUAUCACUUAUAGAUGGACCUGCGCCGUACUAGCUAGUUGGUAAGGUAACGGCUUACCAAGGCAACGAUACGUAGCCGACCUGAGAGGGUGAUCGGCCACACUGGAACUGAGACACGGUCCAGACUCCUACGGGAGGCAGCAGUAGGGAAGCUUCCGCAAUGGGCGAAAGCCUGACGGAGCAACGCCGCGUGAGUGAUGAAGGUCUUCGGAUCGUAAAACUCUGUUAUUAGGGAAGAACAAACGUGUAAGUAACUGUGCACGUCUUGACGGUACCUAAUCAGAAAGCCACGGCUAACUACGUG
rnacentral:rRNA from 1 species